CAUUGGAAACGAUGGCUAAUACCGCAUAAUGCCUUCGGNCCAAAGAGGGGGACCUUCGNCCCCUCUCGCGUCAGGAUAUGCCCAGGUGGGAUUAGCUAGUUGGUGAGGUAAUGGCUCACCAAGGCGACGAUCCCUAGCUGGUCUGAGAGGAUGAUCAGCCACACUGGAACUGAGACACGGUCCAGACUCCUACGGGAGGCAGCAGUGGGGAAUAUUGCACAAUGGGCGCAAGCCUGAUGCAGCCAUGCCGCGUGUGUGAAGAAGGNCUUCGG
rnacentral:rRNA from 1 species